AUUGAACGCUGGCGGCAUGCCUUACACAUGCAAGUCGAACGGCAGCACGGGAGCAAUCCUGGUGGCGAGUGGCGAACGGGUGAGUAAUAUAUCGGAACGUGCCCAGUAGUGGGGGAUAACUGCUCGAAAGAGCAGCUAAUACCGCAUACGACCUGAGGGUGAAAGGGGGGGAUCGCAAGACCUCUCGCUAUUGUAGCGGCCGAUAUCAGAUUAGCUAGUUGGGGGGGUAAAGGCCUACCAAGGCAACGAUCUGUAGUUGGUCUGAGAGGACGACCAGCCACACUGGGACUGAGACACGGCCCAGACUCAUACGGGAGGCAGCAGUGGGGAAUUUUGGAAAAUGGGCGCAAGCCUGAUCCAGCAAUGCCGCGUGCAGGAAGAAGGCCUUCGGGUUGUAAACUGCUUUUGUCAGGGAAGAAAUCCUCUAGGUUAAUACCCUUGGGGGGAUGACGGUACCUGAAGAAUAAGCACCGGCUAACUACGUGCCAGCCGCCGCCGUAAAAC
rnacentral:rRNA from 1 species